rnacentral:tRNA from 1 species
UAUCUGGCCGGGCUGGACGAGCGCGCCACCGGCACCCGCCGCGAGCGCCUGGAGAUGUCGAUCACCUCGCUGCAGGACCACCACGAUUCGC